AACAUGUCUUGAAACCUGCUUUACUAUAAACACAAGUGGCUGAUUGAUAUCUGGUGAUUAACUAAUGAUGACAGAAGGAGGGAGGUGACUUUCUGGGGUGACUAAAAUGUUUACACCGGGUAUUUAUCAUGCCGCAGUUGAGUUGGAGAUAUGAUCUUGGGGGAAAAAAAAAGACUAAAAAUGUGACUGCCUCAGCGCAAGUCACGGCUAGACAGAGAGCUCGGCAUGCCAUCAGCACUGACCUCAUGCCGAUGGCUCUCAGCACGGAGAAGGCCUGUCAAGACGUGCCAGAGGCUCCAUUAUCAGGCCAGGGCAAGAGCGUGAAGAUAAAGCAGUACGGAAGAGGUAAAAGAAGAGAGAUCUAGGAGAAGAGAGACCCUAUGAGAACGCAGCAAGAAGGCUACAAGCCAGGAAGAGAGCCCUCACCAGGAGCCCAGUCUGCCAGCACCUUGAUCUGGGACUUCUAGCCUCCAGAACUAACUUCAUAUCAUGCCUGUAACAGCCAGAUCCUAAAGUGACUCCAGUGAUUCUUGACUUCUGGUAUUCAUGCCCUCAUACAAUCCCCUCCCCUUGAGUGGGGGUGGGACUGUGACUUGCUUCUACCAAGAGAAAAUGGCAAAGGUAAUAGGAUGUCACUCCCAUGAUUAUGUUACAUUAUAUAGACUCCAUUUUUGCCAGUAUGCUGGCUCUAGAGUUUCCCUUUCCAUUGCUGACUUUGAAGAGGGAGCUGCCACAAAUCUUACAGCCCUAAGGAAAAGUGACUUCUCCAAACACCUGAUGAGCUUAGAGGUAAAUCCUUUUCUAGUUGAGGCCCCGGAUGAGACCCCAGUCCUGGCCAACAUCUUAGUUGCAGCUUGUGAGACCCUAUGCAGAGGACCCAGGUAAGACAUGUUCAGACUCCUGAUGCAAAGAAAAUUUGAGAUAAUAAAUGGGAAUUGUUUAAAGGUGCUAAGUUUAUGGUGAUUUGUUAAGCAAUACAGAAAACGAAUA